AAAAAAUUAAUAGAAUCAAUAAAUUUUAACUAAUUCGUUAUGGAUGUUAAAUUAGUGGAAUAUAUCCAGAGUGACAUAACGUUUAUAGUGGCACGUAGAGAUCGAUCAAUUUGAGUAUAGAAUAACACCAAAUUGUCUCACGUGGGUGGUCUUAGCUAGCAACCACCGACCAACCUCGUCAUCACCACCACCAUGUACUACCCUACCCCCACCCCAACACCCACCAUCCCAUUCUCUUCUUUCUUCUUCUCAAUCUAACUUCCGCUAACCCCAAGAAAGAUUCUUGAUUUUUCCGCCAUGGAAACCAGUGAAGACCCAAACAAGCUUUCUUCUACUCUUGCUGACCCAACCACACAACCCCUUCUCUCCAAACCUUACCCUGUUGAUGAUUCAAUAACACCCCAUCAAUACCCUGGACAAUCUUCUUUAGACCCAGAUGAUCAAACUCAGUUCCUUCAGAUCUCUUACAAUUUUGGAACUCGACCCUUUAAGGACCUUCCUUUUCUUAUCCUUUUUGUUCUUCUUGUUCUUUGCACUUUUGGUUUUGGUAUCUUUGCUUCUGUUCAUAGAAAUCCUCAUCACUCUCAAAUUUCAUCUUUUACCUACAAUAUCACCUCAUCUUCUUGUAGUAUUGGGAGUUCUACCUCUGAGAGCUCUAGUGACUUCUUUUCACUUUACUCAUCUGAUUCUAGUUUCUUGAAGAGUUUGAUAUGGACCCUUGUAGUUACUUUAAUUCUAAGCAUACCCUUUGUGCUUUUUGUGCUUUUCUUGCUCAAGCGCUAUACAAAGCAGAUAGUUUAUGCUUCACUUCCCUUUUUUGUAAUUGUCCCUGUUUUUCUUGACAUCUACUGGUUUGUUGCUUGUACUGUGAGCUCCAAAUGUAGUGAGGAUUUCCCUUUGGCUUAUAGAAUUUUGGUACUGUUUUUCGUGUUGUUGU
rnacentral:misc_RNA from 1 species